AUCCAGUUGACGAGUCCCAAAAGAAGACGAAACACGCGUCAACCUGGAU
rfam:Schistosoma mansoni strain Puerto Rico chromosome 2, complete genome